rnacentral:rRNA from 1 species
GAUGAACGCUGCGGCGUGCCUAAUACAUGCACGUCGAGCGAACAGAUGAGGAGCUUGCUCCUCUGACGUUAGCGGCGGACGGGUGAGUAACACGUGGAUAACCUACCUAUAAGACUGGGAUAACUUCGGGAAACCGGAGCUAAUACCGGAUAAUAUAUUGAACCGCAUGGUUCAAUAGUGAAAGACGGUUUUGCUGUCACUUAUAGAUGGAUCCGCGCCGCAUUAGCUAGUUGGUAAGGUAACGGCUUACCAAGGCAACGAUGCGUAGCCGACCUGAGAGGGUGAUCGGCCACACUGGAACUGAGACACGGUCCAGACUCCUACGGGAGGCAGCAGUAGGGAAUCUUCCGCAAUGGGCGAAAGCCUGACGGAGCAACGCCGCGUGAGUGAUGAAGGUCUUCGGAUCGUAAAACUCUGUUAUUAGGGAAGAACAAAUGUGUAAGUAACUAUGCACGUCUUGACGGUACCUAAUCAGAAAGCCACGGCUAACUACGUG